rnacentral:rRNA from 1 species
UAAUACCAGCACCCCGAGUGGUCGGGACGAUUAUUGGGCCUAAAGCAUCCGUAGCCGGUUCUGCAAGUCUUCCGUUAAAUCCACCUGCUCAACAGAUGGGCUGCGGAGGAUACUACAGGGCUAGGAGGCGGGAGAGGCAAGCGGUACUCAGUGGGUAGGGGUAAAAUCCUCUGAUCCACUGAAGACCACCAGUGGCGAAGGCGGCUUGCCAGAACGCGCUCGACGGUGAGGGAUGAAAGCUGGGGGAGCAAACCGGAUUAGAUACCCGGGUAGUCCCAGCUGUAAACGAUGCAGACUCGGUGAUGGGUUGGCUUUGUGCCAACCCAGUGCCGCAGGGAAGCCGUUAAGUCUGCCGCCUGGGGAGUACGGUCGCAAGACUGAAACUUAAAGGAAUUGACGG